UUGGUACAUGGCCCACAGGGGAAGAAGAGAGGGUAGUUGUCCUGCUGUGGGUUUCCCCUCAGCCCCAGGCUAUGCAGCGCUUGUUUCCCUGAAGCACUGAAGGCCCUUACCCCCAGAGCGGUAGAUUGGGGGGUCCCCAGCGUGUCUGUUCUUUGGAAAGCAUGAGCUCUGAGUCUGCUGAGUGUGGAAACCCAGCGCUGCUCAGACCCAUCUCAUGUAUUUUCUUCCUUAACACGCACCUCUGGCUCCCUACAGAGCCCUUGCCUGGGGGCUCAGAAAGCAGAGGGUCUCGCCACUGGUGGUGGGGUCCUGAACCCCUCUCACUUCGCCUACAGCUGGUAGGAAUCUAAGAGUUUCUGUAUCGGAGAUACUCAGACUUCCACCACAGUGUUUUUGAAGUGUGGGUCCAUUGCCCAGGUUUUGAAGAUAACUUAAGACUUGUGAGAAAGACAGCAGCAAGUGAAAUUGAAUCCUGCAUCCCCUGGUUUGCAAUAGGGCUCAGGAGAAACUAGCAUGAAGUGACAUGGAAAUGCUGUUUGACACACUCCAGGAGGAGGACUUCAGGCUUCGACGAGGGGGACGGUACCUCAGCAGCCCAAGGGGGAACAGGGAGCCCAUCCUGAGAGAGAGAGCAGGACCCUGAAAGCGAUAGAGAAUUUGACCAAGCUGGAAGAGCUGCUGAAUGCUGAGGCACAUGGGACCUGUUGCAGAGUGACUGAGCAGCACCCGUGUUUCACAGACGCAGGCCAGG